GUGCUACGCGUGAGUUGACCGCCUGGGGAGUACGGUCGCAAGAUUAAAACUCAAAGGAAUUGACGGGGACCCGCACAAGCGGUGGAUGAUGUGGAUUAAUUCGAUGCAACGCGAAAAACCUUACCUACCCUUGACAUGGUCGGAAUCCUNGAGAGAUCUGGGAGUGCUCGAAAGAGAACCGAUACACAGGUGCUGCAUGGCUGUCGUCAGCUCGUGUCGUGAGAUGUUGGGUUAAGUCCCGCAACGAGCGCAACCCUUGUCCUUAGUUGCUACGCAAGAGCACUCUAGGGAGACUGCCGGUGACAAACCGGAGGAAGGUGGGGAUGACGUCAAGUCCUCAUGGCCCUUAUGGGUAGGGCUUCACACGUCAUACAAUGGUCGGAACAGAGGGUCGCCAACCCGCGAGGGGGAGCUAAUCCCAAAAAAUGGAUCGGAACUCGGAUUGCGCUCUGCUUCUCGAGUGCGUUAAGCUGGAAAUCGAAAUGAAUCCCAA
rnacentral:rRNA from 1 species